AUUGAACGCUGGCGGCAUGCUUUACACAUGCAAGUCGAACGGCCGCGCGGGCUUCGGCCUGGCGGCGCGUGGCGAACGGGUGAGUAAUACAUAGGAACGUGUCCAGUAGUGGGGGAUAGCUCGGCGAAAGCCGGAUUAAUACCGCAUACGACCUGAGGGUGAAAGCGGGGGAUCUUCGGACCUCGCGCUAUCUGAGCGGCCGAUGGCAGAUUAGCUAGUUGGUGGGGUAAAGGCCUACCAAGGCGACGAUCUGUAGCUGGUCUGAGAGGACGACCAGCCACACUGGGACUGAGACACGGCCCAGACUCCUACGGGAGGCAGCAGUGGGGAAUUUUGGACAAUGGGCGAAAGCCUGAUCCAGCAAUGCCGCGUGUGUGAUGAAGGCCUUCGGGUUGUAAAGCACUUUUGGCGGGAACGAAAAGGACUGUGCCAAUACCACGGUUCGAUGACGGUACCCGCAGAAUAAGCACCGGCUAACUACGUG
rnacentral:rRNA from 1 species